AGAAGUGGUUAUCAGUUGGGAGUAGUCGUAGUCUAUAUUGGAGACUCGCAGCUUCCUUGGUCUAGCUGGAUAUUACUUGAGAUUUGAUUGAGGGUUUUCUCCAGCAUUUAUGCAGUUGACCGGAGUGUCUAGGAAGAGUAUGGAAUUUUCCUGGAUAGAUGUUUGUGAGAUCAGUUUAGAUAACUGCACCGUCUUAGUUAUGCUUUCUAGUGUAGACGGAUUUGCACUCUACACAUAUGUAUCGUAUCUGGGAGUUGGUGUAGUUCCGAUAUAGUAUGAGCGGAGCAGUCUCAUGCCAGUAUAUCGAAUUAUCGUGUGAUAGGAAUGAGAUUCAUAGAUCUCUAUGGGAGAUUGUGUGUGUUUUCGAGUCACUUCUUAUCCGGGAGGAGUUACUGCAUGAAACACCUUGAUCUGGAUUGGUGAUACAUCUGGGUGGCACCCGAUGUAUAGAGAUUGGAGCAUUCUGAUUGGUGGAAUGACAUGAAGAAAGACAUCGCGGAUUUUGUAGCUUGAUGUCUAUUAUGUCAGUAAAUGGAGGCGGAACAUCAGAGAUUAGUAGGAGUGCCUCCGUUGAUUUGGAUACUGGAGUAGAGUGGGAGUAUGUUAUGACGGAUCUUGUUGUGGGAUUACCCAAGACUCGGAGAGGAUAUGAUGGUUUGGGUAAUCAUGGAUUAGUUGAUGACUUUGCUCCCUAGCUAUCAGUAUGUACGACGGAUUCUUUUGGAUGGAGUAGCAGGAUUAUACUCUAGAGGGAUUUCCAGACUGGAUGAUGUACCUCUGAGUAUUGUUUUGGAUGGAGAUCAGUGAUUUCAUGUCAUGGUUUUGAUUAUAGUUACAGCAGACUUUGGAUUAGGAGUUUCACUUUAGUAUAGAUUUUCAUCUCAGACUGAUGGAUAGUUUGAGCGCCCUAUAGAGAUGUUGGAGAAUCUAUUGAUGGUGGAUUAUGGAUUUCAGAGGUAGUUGAUUUAUCCACUGUUGGCUAGAUGGCAGUGUGAGAGAAGCGGAAGUAGAGUGGGCUCAUAACCCACAGAGCCAUUCUUUUUGAUUGGAGAUUUGUUCAUCAUACUUGGAUAGAGUGGUAUGCGAGUAUGUUGCUUGGAGGUUAUCCUUGGAUGAAGAUCCCUGAGUUGACCAGAAAAUUUGGGGACCAAAUUUUUAUUAGAGGGGGAGAAUGUAAGAUAUAAAAAAAAAAAAAUUAAAUAGAUAGGGUUAUUUGGGAAAUAGCCUUAUAGAAUUUUUUCAGAAUUUUUAGAAAUUUUCUGGGAAUUUUUCAGAGCACGUAAGACGGGUUUUGAGGGGAUCAAUUUCGGGUACAAAUAAGGCCUGUUUGGGAGACCUAUUUAGGUGAGGAAAUGUUUAUAAUUAUAAGUUAUUUUCUUUUCCUUUAAUUCCCUUCCCAAGCGCUGUUUCCCCCAAACCCGACGCCGAUCUCCUCCUCCUCACAUCCCGCCCGAAACCCCUCCCUCUCCGGCGAUUUCUCUGCCUGCGACGCCGAGUGCGCCACCGUCCAUCGGUGUAACCCCGACCGAGCCUCCUCUCCCUCUUCCUCCCGAAGCGUGGAGUCUCUUUUCCUCUCAUCUCCCGAUCUUUUCUUUGCCUCUUCGCAUCGAUGCCCUUCUCAUGCGAUCACACCCGAUCGCCGAUUGGUGUUCCGUUGACUCGCCGAGAGCUAGCACCGGUCGAUCGUCGAUGUCACCAUCACCGUGGGAAGGAGGGAGUUGCCGGCCUCUUCAUCGCCACUUCACUCCAUCUCUCUGUGCAGAUUCGGAGCGACGCCCUAGGGUUGGUUUCGUCCGACCGUUACUCCCUUAGAGUCGUUGCUCCGGGUGGGUAGAUCUCCGGCCAAGAAGGGAGCUCCUAGCCAUAGUUUUGGCCUCCCUGUUGCUGCACGUCUGCACAGGGUGAAGAUUUCGGUCGGAAUUCCCUAAAUCGCAGCCAUUAGAGGAGUUUCUUGGUUCACAAAGGGUACGAUUGGUAGCGGAAUCCAUAGCUGAGGAAAUUGGGUGUUCUACCAGAUUCCCGACCAAAAUUGUCCAAUGGGUGGCUGCUGGAAUGGUGGGGGGAUUGUCAGACAAGCUUGGCUAUAGGAUUUAGGAUGCUUGAUUUGCUGUGGUGAUUCUUUCUUUAGCUGAAGAUUGAAAGAAGAAGGCUAUUAAGGACUUGGUUUCGAGGCAAGCGUCUCGACGUGGGAUUUAUCUUAUCACGAUCGACAGAUUAAAGGCG